rnacentral:rRNA from 1 species
CCAAGAGAUCGGAUAACACCUGGAAACAGAUGCUAAUACCGGGAUAACAACAGAUGAUGCCUAUCAACUGUUUAAAAGAUGGUUCUGCUAUCACUCUUGGAUGGACCUGCGGUGCAUUAGCUAGUUGGUAGGGUAACGGCCUACCAAGGCGAUGAUGCAUAGCCGAGUUGAGAGACUGAUCGGCCACAUUGGGACUGAGACACGGCCCAAACUCCUACGGGAGGCAGCAGUC